CACCAGGGGCAGGACGCUCUCAAAAGAUGCCCACCGGUGCCCCUCCACGCUUCAGCCCCCCACCCACCCCGUGUGAGGCAGGUGGUAUUGGGAGAGGCCACUGCGUGGGUGGAGACGCUGUGCCCUUGGGUGAGCCUACUGACCCCACCGAGCCCCGGCCUCCUUGUCUGUGAGGCGGGGACCGUUCGCGAUACUUGCGUCGCGGUGCUGCUGUGCGGCCCGAGUGAGGCCACGCAGGCGAAGCGCGCAGCUCAGUGCCCCGCACACAGCAGGGCUCACAGCGGGCCAGCCUUUCCUUGCCCCUCGCUCCCUGCGGCGGACGGGCCCCGGGGGAGCCGGGCCUGCCCUGGACGCCAGCGUGGGGGUACAGACGGGAACCCCAGCCUGGUGCCGGGAAGAUGGUGCCGGCCUCAUAGGUAAUUUCAACCCUUCCAGGGGCCACACUGCGAUUAAAUACAUUUUAAUCACACAUCGUACGGAACCCGACGUAGCCAACGUAUUCUUACAAUCAUCACAACGCGUAAUCACUAUGGUGAUUAGUAACAAAACGUUUUACAUUCUUUUUCUCCUUCUACACCUGCAUUUUCGUACCGCGUCUCAGUGUGGACCAGCCACAUUCCAGGGGCCCCGCGGUCACACAUGGCCAGCCGUGGCUCUACUGGGGGACACAGGCCCGGAGCGUCCCCGGGCCCGCAGCGAGGAGAGGCGACCGCUCCCUGACCUGGCUUUACAGGAAAUCAAGGCCAUACAAAUGGAACUCGUUCUGAUAAAAACCCCGACAUCUCUAGGAAGAGAAUGCAACUCAGAGCCUGUUCAUAUUCGGCCCUUGAGUCUGAAGGGAGUCUGGGGAAAUGCUAAUUUUGAACUUUCCUACACCCUUCCUGCUUCUGGAUGCUGAGGGCUGCCUUGAAUUCCUUUGCACGAUAAAUGGAGGGGAGAAAUCAUGUCACUUCAGCAAAACACAAGCUCAAUUUUUCCUGA